CCUACGGGAGGCUGCAGUGGGGAAUAUUGGACAAUUGGGGCAACCCUGAUCCAGCCAUGCCGCGUGUGUGAAGAAGGCCCUCGGGUUGUAAAGCACUUUCAGUGAGGAAGAACGCCUGGUGGUUAAUACCCAUCAGGAAAGACAUCACUCACAGAAGAAGCACCGGCUAACUCCGUGCCAGCAGCCGCGGUAAUACGGAGGGUGCGAGCGUUAAUCGGAAUUACUGGGCGUAAAGCGCGCGUAGGUGGCUUGAUAAGCCGGUUGUGAAAGCCCCGGGCUCAACCUGGGAACGGCAUCCGGAACUGUCAAGCUAGAGUGCAGGAGAGGAAGGUAGAAUUCCCGGUGUAGCGGUGAAAUGCGUAGAGAUCGGGAGGCAUACCAGUGGCGAAGGCGGCCUUCUGGACUGACACUGACACUGAGGUGCGAAAGCGUGGGUAGCAAACAGGAUUAGAUACCCUAGUAGUC
rnacentral:rRNA from 1 species